CUAAUAAUUUUAAACGAAAAUAUUUGCCUGAGAACUACUGGCCACAGCUUAAAACUCAAAGGACUUGGCGGUACUUUAUAUCCAUCUAGAGGAGCCUGUUCUAUAAUCGAUAAACCCCGUUAUACCUCACCACCCCUUGCUAAUACAGCCUAUAUACCGCCAUCUUCAGCAAACCCUAAAAAGGAAUAAAAGUAAGCAAGAGAACCACCAUAAAAACGUUAGGUCAAGGUGUAGCCAAUGAGGUGGAAAGCAAUGGGCUACAUUUUCUUACAAAGAACACUACGCUACCCUUUAUGAAACUAGAGGACAAAGGAGGAUUUAGUAGUAAAUUAAGAAUAGAGAGCUUAGUUGAAUAGAGCAAUGAAGUACGUACACACCGCCCGUCACCCUCA
rnacentral:rRNA from 1 species